rnacentral:rRNA from 1 species
UUUAAAUGAGAGUUCGAUCCUGGCUCAGGAUGAACGCUGGCGGCGUGCUUAACACAUGCAAGUCGAACGGAGUUAAGAUGAAACCUAGUGAUUUUUAACUUAGUGGCGGACGGGUG